rnacentral:rRNA from 1 species
CUACGGGCUGCUGCAGUGAGGAAUAUUGCACAAUGGGGGGAACCCUGAUGCAGCAACGCCGCGUGGAGGAUGACGCAUUUCGGUGUGUAAACUCCUUUUAUAUGUCAAGAAAAUGACGGUAGCAUAUGAAUAAGCACCGGCUAACUCCGUGCCAGCAGCCGCGGUAAUACGGAGGGUGCAAGCGUUACUCGGAAUCACUGGGCGUAAAGGACGCGUAGGCGGGUUGGAAAGUCAGGUGUGAAAUCCUACAGCUUAACUGUAGAACUGCACUUGAAACUUCUAAUCUAGAGUAUGGGAGGGGGUGAUGGAAUUAGUGGUGUAGGGGUAAAGUCCGUAGAUAUCACUAGGAAUACCUAAAGCGAAGGCAAUCUCCUGGAACAUUACUGACGCUAAGGCGUGAAAGCGUGGGGAGCAAACAGGAUUAGAUACCCCUGUAGUC